rnacentral:rRNA from 1 species
AACGGGGGAGGCGGACGUUAUUCAUCUUUACUGGGCGUAAAGGGUGUGUAGGUUGUCAUAUAAGUAAUAAUUGAAAAAUUAGUUAUUAAAUAAUAAUUAUUAAAACUGUAUUACUUGAGUUAUUUAGGAGAUUAUGGUACUCUUAAUGGAGAGGUUGAAUUCGGAGAUAUUAGGGGAACUAACAAAGGUGAAAACAAUAAUCUAUAAAUAAACUGACAUUGAGACACUAAAGCGUGGGGUGCAAAUAGG